CCCUUAGAUGUUCUGGGCCGCACGCGUGCUACACUGAGUAAUUCAAUGGGUAAGGGAACGCUAGAGCAUUACCUAAUCUUGAAAUUUGCUCGUGAUGGGGAUCGACGGUUGCAAUUUUCCGUCGUGAACGAGGAAUAACUUGUAGGCGCAUGUCAUCAUCAUGCGCCGAAUACGUCCCUGCCCUUUGUACACACCGCCCGUCGCUCCUACCGAUUGAGUGAUCCGGUGAGGCUCUGGGACCUGGACGGAAAGAGCGUUUCGCUUGUUCUGUUUGGGAAACUUGGUCGAACCUUAUCAUUUAGAGGAAGGAGAAGUCGUAACA
rnacentral:rRNA from 1 species